GCAGUCUCCUCUGCAGGAACUAAAGGAGCAGGCCAAGCUACAGUCCAAACAAUUCCAUGAAAUCAACUGCGCGGUAGAGUGUACUUUCUGAAAUCAUCUGAUGUUCUGAGACCGAUAUGAAAUAAAGCAGCAGGAUUUGUUUGGAGUUUUGAUGGCCUACAGCAUGUACAACCCUGAGGUGGGCUAUGGCCAGGGCCUAAGCCAUCUAGUGGCACUGUUGCUGAUGUGGCUCAGUGAGGAGGAUGCAUUUUGGGCUCUGGUCCAGCUCAUGGAGAAUGAGAAAUA